CAUAUAUUUUUGAAGGUCGUUGAUGCUGAUGUAAGCUGUUAAUUGAAGUGACCUCCAAGGGCUGCUGCAAGAUAGGAGAGCACCAGAGCCAAACGCUACAUCAAAGAGCCAACAGUGCUGCUAUCCCAGAACCUGAAUUCUGACGAUCAGGAGUUGGUCCUGAAGGCUUUGAAGUGUGUGCCUGAGACCCAGCUCCACAAAGAUGGACUGAACGCACUGAGGCUCUCUCUUGUGAGAGGAAACAGCAAAGUUGUCCAUGCAGCCAGGAGAGCAUUGAGCAGCUGGUGUACGUGAACCUAACUGAUAAGGAGGCUGUGUGGGAGUUAAGCAAACAGAACCUGAGGCUGUGCAAUGGCUCUGAGAUCCAUCUGAUUGGCUAAGUAAACCUCUGAGUUAUGAGGAGCCUGCUGCACAGGUCAGGAUGACGUUGGCCAGUUUGUUUCCCCCUCCUCAUCCCACCAAUGAGUCCACCCAGCAGAUGAGUACAGAUGGAGAUCAGAAUUGACAUCUCUACCUGCAUGUGAAUUGCUUUUGAUAGUGGAUUAAUCGUUACACAUCUCCAUGUGAUCCUCGGCAGAUAAUGAAGGUUCCUAUGCAUCCACAGAUAGAGUGGAAGAUGGACAAGAGGUAGAGUAAUCUAAUCCUGACUCUCAGGCUCGUCUUGCCGAUGCCAGAAACAUGAACAGACCCUUUGCGGUGCUUCAUGACAUGGCAGAGAAAUGGAUCACGCAAUGUGAGAGGGAGGAGCCAUCGAGAAUCAUAUCAGCAGUUAUCGGGGGUUCUCGUCAAAACAGUGUCGCGCUGCUCCCUGUGCAUCACAAGGCCUCAUCGAGACCCUCCACAGGCUGACACUCCUCCUCCUGCAUCAUCUGCCCGUGGAGAGUUUCCUACCCAUGGCCCUCUCUCUGAGUGCCAAUGUACACGGCACAGAAAACAGCAGUAAUCUCUUUCCUGCGUGUGGUAAAGGUCUGUUGCCUCCAGUUAAGAAGUAUGGUUGCAUCACGCUGUUCGGAGGUUGCCCUGUGCAUAGGUAGAAACUGUUUUUCUAUUUUCCAUUGGUACUAUUGUUGGUAGAGAAACAGGUAUUCAACUUGUUCCCCAUGUGGUUUGACUGGUUUUGUGACAGUAAAGCACAAUAACUACAGUUUUCUGGUUUAAAAAAAGAUCUUUUUCAAAAACUAGGCAAGGCAAACAGCGUACAGUGCUUAGAAAACAAUUUCUUUCCAACAUUCACUCGGUAAUAAAUAACAGUCAUGUAAUAAGAAAGAUCUAAAUAAUCAAGGAACAUCUGGAAUCUUCCAAGUAUUUACAGUAUAGUUCCUCCCUAGAAGCUGAGGGUGCAGUACUGGCUGAGGCACUUUCCAUGCAGGCCACUCUUCUUUCAAGCUAGGCCAAUUUUGACUUGAUAGCAAGUAAGAAUCUUGUUAUUAACUCAUAAGGCUGUAUAUGUAUCCAACUUUAGUCUCUCCCAUUUGAUUAGCAAAUCCAAGUGAAAAUCUUGCAGUUUAUCUAGAUUUCUUGCAGCAGAAGCAGAAGGGGUUAUUCCCCAUGACAGCUUUGUACUAAACUUAUCCCAGCAUUGUAAAAGAUUAUUCAUUACAAAAUUGUUAUACUUCUAGAACUUUCCCUUUUCUGUUUUCUUAAUCUACAAGUGAUGGGAAGACACUCCUCAAUCCACGCUUGCUCAGUUGCAAUUUCAGAAGGGUCCUCAAGUUCUAACACCCAUCUGCUGGUCCAAGAUGAUAGUGGUGCAGUGUGAGAUAACUAAAUAUUAGGUACACAACAAGGCACCCUAAAUAAGGACCUGAGGAAUUUGGAUUGGGUUGCUUCUAGUUUAGGGAAAUUUCUGAAUAAGCAUAUCUAUGAACCAUACAUGAGAUGGGAUAAUCACCUUAUCCUGAAAGUCUUUUAUUGCAUAUGGUAUAUGAGAACCCCCUUUGGUAAAAAAAGAAUUUUAAAAUUGCUACAACCACUCUUUGGGCAUUCUCAAUUACAUAGGAAAGCUGAGCGUAAGCCAGAUGAUUCGGAAAACUACUUCUAAAUAAUUGAAUGUUUUAACUUGAUCAGUCUCAUGACUGUCAAUCUGCCACCUGUACUUAAUAUAUUUUUUGGAGAAAAAACAAUUUUGGUCUUGGAGAAAUUGAUGGUUAACGUCUCCUCCUAACAGUAAGGCGUAAAUGUCCAAAGGGCUCUUCUGAGCCCUACGUUGGAGUAUGAUAGAAUGAUCAUUGUCUGCCUGUAAUAGUGUGGCAGUUGGUCUGUUUGCCAGAUUGGGUGGAUGGAAAUCUGGAUUGGUUAAGGUUUGCACCAUAGAAUGUAUAUAAAAAUUAAAUUACAAGAGAGCUAGGAUACAUCUUUGCUUCACACCUCUCCUGACAGAGACCAAAUGGGACAAAUAACCUGAUGGGUUGCAGCUCAUUGAAAAAUAAUUGUUUUCAUGUAGUGUGUGUAUAGGAGAAAACAGUCUGUGAUCUAUUGAAGAAGCUUCUAGUUUUAA